rnacentral:rRNA from 1 species
GACGAACCACACGAACGUUAUUCGGAAUCACUGGGCUUAAAGGGUGCGUAGGCGGCGCGGAAAGUAGGGUGCGAAAUCCCUCGGCUCAACCGAGGAACUGCGCUCUAAACUACCGUGCUCGAGGGAGACAGAGGUGAGCGGAACUUAGGGUGGAGCGGUGAAAUGCGUUGAUAUCCUAAGGAACACCGGUGGCGAAAGCGGCUCACUGGGUCUCUUCUGACGCUGAGGCACGAAAGCUAGGGUAGCGAACGGG